rnacentral:rRNA from 1 species
CGAGAGGGGNAAAGCCCUCGGCGUACUGCUCAGUAACACGUGGAUAACCUGCCCUGUGGAGGGAAAUAACCCCGGGAAACUGGGGAUAAUGUCCCAUAGAUUACAGAUACUGGAAUGUUCUGUAGUCGAAAGAUUCAUCGCCACAGGAUGGGUCUGCGGCCGAUUAGGUAGUUGUUGGGGUAACGGCCCAACAAGCCUUUGAUCGGUACGGGUUGUGGGAGCAAGAGCCCGGAGAUGGAUUCUGAGACACGAAUCCAGGCCCUACGGGGCGCAGCAGGCGCGAAAACUUUACAAUGCGGGAAACCGUGAUAAGGGAACUCCGAGUGUCCGUAAAUUCGGACUGUCCGUAUGUUUAAAAAGCAUACGAAGAAAGGGCCGGGCAAGACCGGUGCCAGCCGCCGCGGUAAUACCGGCGGCUCGAGUGGUGGCCACUAUUACUGGGCUUAAAGCGUUCGUAGCUUGGUUGUUAAGUCUCCUGGGAAAUCUAUCGGCUUAACCGAUAGGCGUCCAGGGGAUACUGGCAAUCUAGGGACCGGGAGAGGUGAGGGGUACUUCAGGGGUAGGAGUGAAAUCCUGUAAUCCUUGGGGGACCACCUGUGGCGAAGGCGCCUCACCAGAACGGCUCCGACAGUGAGGGACGAAAGCUGGGGGAGCAAACCGGAUUAGAUACCCGGGUAGUCCCAGCCGUAAACGAUGCACGUUAGGUGUAUCGAUGACCACGAGUCAUCGAGGUGCCGAAGGGAAACCGUGAAACGUGCCGCCUGGGAAGUACGGUCGCAAGGCUGAAACUUAA